GUCGUAGUCCGGAUUGGAGUCUGCAACUCGACUCCAUGAAGUCGGAAUCGCUAGUAAUCGUGGAUCAGAAUGCCACGGUGAAUACGUUCCCGGGCCUUGUACACACCGCCCGUCACACCAUGGGAGUGGGUUGCAAAAGAAGUAGGUAGCUUAACCUUCGGGAGGGCGCUUACCACUUUGUGAUUCAUGACUGGGGUGAAGUCGUAACAAGGUAACCGUAGGGGAACCUGCGGUUGGAUCACCUCCUUA
rnacentral:rRNA from 3 species